rnacentral:rRNA from 1 species
UACGGGGGGGGCAAGCGUUGUUCGGAAUUACUGGGCGUAAAGGGCUCGUAGGCGGCCAACUAAGUCAGACGUGAAAUCCCUCGGCUCAACCGGGGAACUGCGUCUGAUACUGGAUGGCUCGAGUUUGGGAGAGGGAUGCGGAAUUCCAGGUGUAGCGGUGAAAUGCGUAGAUAUCAGGAGGAACACCUGCGGUGUAGACGGCUUACUGGACCAUAACUGACGCUGAGGCACGAAAGCGUGGGUAGCAAACAGG